UACGGAGGAUGCGAGCGUUAUCCGGAUUUAUUGGGUUUAAAGGGUGCGCAGGCGGCGUGUCAAGUCAGCGGUAAAAUGUCGGGGCUCAACCCCGGCCGGCCGUUGAAACUGGCGUGCUCGAGUUGGAGAGAAGUAUGCGGAAUUCGUGGUGUAGCGGUGAAAUGCAUAGAUAUCACGAAGAACCCCGAUUGCGAAGGUAGCAUACCGGCUCCACACUGACGCUGAGGCACGAAAGCGUGGGUAUCGAACAGG
rnacentral:rRNA from 1 species